GCCAUUCAUUCAUCUGGCUCUAGCCUUUCCUGUGCUCAUGCGGCACUGGCACCUCCUGCCUGCUAACUGGACGGCAGGGAUCUGAUGUGAGACUUCUCUGUUCCUGGCUAUGCCUCGCCCAGCUCUGCCCACGACAGGCAUUCAGGCUGGAAAUGAGGACCCACGAGGAGCGAGAAGAGGAAGAGCAAUGACACUUUUUAACCCAGGGCGGUGGAAAUACAGACACUCUCCCAAGGGUGAAGUAAUACAGAAGAGAUCAAUGAAGAAAGUGAUGCUCAGAAGGCCCGCUGACUCGUCCAGCAGGUGAGCGACAGAGCUAGACUUUCCACCCAGAAGCUUGAACCCAAGCCCAGAACUCUCCCAGGAGUCCGAAGCAGCCCCUCUGGUCGGAAAGCGAGGAUGAUGCCCUCCUCCCACGACACCGGGCACCUCCAGACCUCAGACCACUCAACACCUGCAGGGGCAAAAUACCCUCAGAGGAAUUUUGAGGAACAGGGUCCAGUGUUUGAGUCAAUCAUAAAAAUAAAUGAGCACAGUCCACACAUUUGA